GGAUAAAUGGCUGAGUGGUUUAAGGCAUUAGUUUUGAAAACUAACGUACAAAAAAGUACCGUGGGUUCAAAUCCCACUUUAUCCU
rnacentral:tRNA from 1 species